rnacentral:rRNA from 1 species
UACGUAGGGUGCAGGCGUUAAUCGGAAUUACUGGGCGUAAAGCGUGCGCAGGCGGUUUCUUAAGUCAGAUGUGAAAGCCCCGGGCUUAACCUGGGAACUGCGUUUGAAACUGGGAGACUUGAGUGUGGCAGAGGGGGGUGGAAUUCCUGGUGUAGCGGUGGAAUGCGCAGAUAUCAGGAAGAACACCCGUGGCGAAGGCGGCUCUCUGGGACGGUACUGACGCUGAGACGCGAAAGCUAGGGUAGCAAACGGG